AACACAUGCAAGUCGCACGGGGGUUUUCGGACCUUAGUGGCGGACGGGUGACUAACGCGUAGGAACGUAUACCACGGGUGGGGGAUACCACUGGGAAACUGGUGCUAAUACCGCAUGAUGCCUGAGGGCCAAAGCUUUUGCGCCUGUGGAGCGGCCUGCGUGCGAUUAGCUAUUUGGUUGGGUAAAGGCUGACCAAGGCUUCGAUCGGCUAGCUGGUCUGAGAGGACGAUCCCC
rnacentral:rRNA from 1 species